GACGAACGCUGGCGGCGUGCUUAACACAUGCAAGUCGAACGGAAAGGCCCUGCUUUUGUGGGGUACUCGAGUGGCGAACGGGUGAGUAACACGUGAGUAACCUGCCCUUGACUUUGGGAUAACUUCAGGAAACUGGGGCUAAUACCGGAUAGGAGCUCCUGCUGCAUGGUGGGGGUUGGAAAGUUUCGGCGGUUGGGGAUGGACUCGCGGCUUAUCAGCUUGUUGGUGGGGUAGUGGCUUACCAAGGCUUUGACGGGUAGCCGGCCUGAGAGGGUGAGCGGCCACAUUGGGACUGAGAUACGGCCGAGACUCCUGCGGGAGGCAGGUGUGGGGAAUAGUGCACUAUGGGCGGAAGCCUGAUGCAGCAGCGGCGCGUGCGGGAUGACGGCCUUCGGUUUGUAAACCGCUUUCGCCUGUGACGGAGCGUGAGUGACGGUAAUGGGUAAAGAAGCACCGGCUAACUACGUG
rnacentral:rRNA from 1 species